rnacentral:tRNA from 1 species
UAAUGAAAUUUGAAUACAAAUUAGAUUCCUAAACUGAUUUAAACCAAUUCAAAUAUCUCAUUUU